GGAGCAGUUGGUAGCUCGUCGGGCUCAUAACCCGAAGGUCACUAGUUCGAGUCUGGUC
rnacentral:tRNA from 1 species